rnacentral:rRNA from 1 species
UACGUAGGUGGCAAGCGUUGUCCGGAAUUACUGGGUGUAAAGGGCGUGUAGGCGGGAAGGCUAGUCAGAUGUGAAAGCCCAUGGCUUAACUGUGGAACUGCAUCUGAAACUGUUUUUCUUGAGUACUGGAGAGGAAAGUGGAAUUCCUAGUGUAGCGGUGAAAUGCGUAGAGAUUAGGAGGAACACCAGUGGCGAAGGCGGCUUCCUGGUCUGUAACUGACACUGAGGCGCGAAAGCGUGGGGAGCAAACAGGAUUAGAUACCCUGGUAGU